AUGUGUCUGCGCCAGCUGACGUGCCCUCUUGCCCUCUGCACAGCACCAUCCCUGCAUUCCACAGGGGACCUGGGCAAGGGUGCCGAAGGGGCUGUGCUCGGGUUCACGUCCAAGUCACAGGGGCCUCAAGUGGAUGAUGCCAAGUUGGAACAUGGAAGUGUCCAGAAGCAGGACAGGCCCAGGAAGAAGUCUAUGUGCAGCAGCAGGUCCAGCUCCCCCACUGCCCUGGGCUGCCUGAUCACAGGCUACUUCCCGGAACCGGUGGAUGUGUCAUGGAACCCAGGAUCCAUCACCAGUGGCGUGCACACAUUUCCGGCUGUGCUUCGGUCUGGGUUCUACACCACCAGCAGCAUGGUCACUCUCCCUGACGCUGACCCCUCCGGCAAGACCUACACCUGCAAUGUCAAACACAAAUCCAGCAACACCCAGGUGGACAAGACCAUUGAUCUGACGUCUUUGCCCCAACCAGGGUCGUGUGACUGUUGCAAAUGCUCAGGAAAUGACUUGCAGGGAGGACCUUCGGUCUUCCUCUUCCCCCCGAAACCCAAGGACAACCCUCAUGAUCGCACGCCACACCUGUGCUCACCUGCGUGGUGGUGGAUGUGAGUCCCUUUGACCCAGAAUUAACGUUCAACUGGUAUGUGGACAACAAGGAGGAGAAGGGGGCUAAGACAAUUCGGCAAGAAGAACGGCACAACAGCACACACCGCGUAAUCAGCACCCUUCCCAUCACGCACCAGAACUGGCUGCAGGGCAAGACCUUCAAGUGCAAGGUCAACAGCGAAUCCCUGCCAGCCCCUAUAGAGAGAACCAUCAGCAAGCAAAGAGGGCCCAGAAAGGAACCAAAGGUGUAUAUGAUGGCCCCGCCAAAGGAGGAGCUGUCUGAGCCGAUGGUCAGCAUCACCUGCAUGGUUGAGGGUUUUAAGCCCAAGGACAUCGACAUCGAGUGGAAGAAAAAUGGGCAACUCGAGCCCGAGGGAAACUACCGUACCACACCACCACAGGAGGACACAGACGGGUCCUACUUCCUCUACAGCAAGCUGCGGGCCAACAAGAAUGAAUGGAAGAAUGGCAACACUUACACCUGUGUGGUGAUGCAUGAGACCCUGCACAACCACUACACACAGCGAGACAUCACUGUGUCCUCGGGUAAUUGAGCAGGAGCCCCACUCAGGGUGCAAUAAAGCGCAUGUCUGGGA